CCUACGGGCGGCAGCAGUGGGGAAUAUUGGGCAAUGGGCGCAAGCCUUACCCAGCAAUACCGCGUGAGUGAAGCAGGUCUUCGGAUUGUAAAGCUCUUUGAUCAGGGACGAACAGAUGACGGUACCUGAAGAACAAGCCCCGGCUAACUACGUGCCAGCAGCCGCGGUAAAACGUAGGGGGCGAGCGUUGUCCGGAAUGACUGGGCGUAAAGGGUGUGUAGGGGGCAUAAUAAGUUAGAAGGGAAAUACCCAGGGGUUAACUCGGGUGCAGCUUCUAAGCCUGUUGAGCUUGAGUGCGGGAGAGGUUAAUGGAAUGGCUGGGGUAGCGGUGGAAUGCGUAGAUAUUAGGAGGAACACCAGAGGCGAAGGCGAUUAACUGGACCGUAACUGACGCUGAGGCACGAAAGUGUGGGUAGCGAACAGGAUUAGAUACCCUUGUAGUC
rnacentral:rRNA from 1 species